GCGGGUGUCGUAUAAUGGCUAUUACCAUAGCCUUCCAAGCUAUUGACAGGGGUUCGAUUCCCCUCACCCGCUCCA
rnacentral:tRNA from 1 species